rnacentral:tRNA from 2 species
GCCGUUAUGGGACAAUCUGGUACUCCGCCGGCCUUGAGAGCCGGUUUCCUUCGGGAUAUCCCGGUUCAAAUCCGGGUGGCGGCG